CAGGAGCUUGCUCCUGAUACACGAGUGGCGAACGGGUGAGUAACGCGUACACGAUCUACCCUUAAGACUGGGAUAGCCCUGGGAAACUGGGAUUAAUACCGGAUGUGAUAGUGGUUUUACAUUGCUAUUAAAGAUUCAUCGCUUAAGGAUGAGUGUGCGUCCUAUUAGAUAGUUGGUAAGGUAACGGCUUACCAAGUCUACGAUAGGUAGGGGGCGUGAGAGCGUGACCCCCCACACGGGUACUGAGACACGGACCCGACUCCUACGGGAGGCAGCAGUAAGGAAUAUUGGACAAUGGGGGCAACCCUGAUCCAGCCAUCCCGCGUGCAGGAAGACGGCCCUAUGGGUUGUAAACUGCUUUUAUUAGGGAAGAAAAUGUUGAAUUUAUUUAACACUGACGGUACCUAAAGAAUAAGCACCGGCUAACUCCGUGCCAGCAGCCGCGGUAAUACGGAGGGUGCAAGCGUUAUCCGGAAUUACUGGGUUUAAAGGGUGCGUAGGCGGAAUUAUAAGUCAGAGGUGAAAGCUCGCAGCUCAACUGCGGAAUUGCCUUUGAUACUGUAAAUCUUGAAUUAGGUUGAGGUUAGCGGAAUGUGACAUGUAGCGGUGAAAUGCAUAGAUAUGUCAUAGAACACCAAUUGCGAAGGCAGCUAGCUAGGCCUACAUUGACGCUGANGCACGAAAGCGUGGGGGAGCGAAC
rnacentral:rRNA from 1 species